rnacentral:sRNA from 1 species
GGUCGCCGAAUAUCACCGCGGCUAUCUAGCUCAAAUACACCGAUGAACUAAAAAGAGACAUGCAGAAGAUUGAAUUUGUGUAUAUAUCCUCUCGAACAGUCCCUUUUCGCCUGCAUGAGAGGCUUUAGUUAUGUGAUAAGUCUAUUCUUGCUCGUAUAACACGAAACAAGCCAUCUACAUCACAGAAUCGAAACCGCCCAUGUAGCAGGUCUCGGAAAACAAAAAUCAAGUUCAUAUGAUGGUCUACUUUCCAAUUGGAGAAAUUGUGAUGAGACGGGAAAAAAAAAAAAAAAAAAAAAAAAAAAAAAAAACCCCAACAUUUGAGGCAAUUCACCAAGCCGGGAUGAUUGAAAGGAAAGUAGCUGUUGUCUAGUUCUAUAUCCA